AUAAUGGUGUCUUUCGACACCACCUAUGUCUUCAAAAUUUUGAUU
rfam:Picea glauca, whole genome shotgun sequence.